CUCAAAACUGUGAUCUGAAUCUGCCUCCCAUGUUUCAAAUCUCUUUUGUUCUCCCAAAAUCUUUAUGGGUUCUUCAUAAAGCUUCAGCAGGAGGUGCAGAGUAUUUUCAACUCCAGUACAGACUCCUGAAAUUUCAAACAUGCAAAUCAAUUCCAAACACUUGGAUCUUGUGAAGUUAAGCAACCAGUAUUUUGAAGAUUUUCUAAUUUCAGCUUGAGGAAUCUUAAGAACAGAGGCCCUUAGAGUAUUGACAGCCUGCCAUCAAAGAGAAGUGAUGUUCUCACCUGUAUUGCCUGUAAAGUUGCCCCUAAACAGUUGUCACCUGCAAAAUGUGCCCUGCACCAUCAGUAAACUGAGUUCCAGUUGUGCAGGGCCAGGUGGGGUUGAAAUAAUGGAAAAUAUGCUGCAGAGAGAUGUUCCCUAUCACUAGGGGUGAGAGGAGAUGAAGGAGUCUUUCCAGGAGGGUAUAAGAAACACUUGGAUACUGGUGAUCAGGUUCUGAGGAGGUUCUCCCAAUGUCAAGCUGUCCUUGUCCUGGUUUCUGGCCCUGCUAUCCUUAUCAAUGGAGUACACACGUUAGCAGCAGGUCUCACAGAUAUUUUCUGGCAAGACAGUCAGUGCUAAACCCGGAGUUUGGGGGUUUUCCAUGAUUUGAGCAAAAUACAACUGGGCAGUUGGACUCUGCACUCCUGGGCUGCUUCAGUCCAGCUCCUCCUGUCUCCACGUGUGACUUACCUUCUCCCAUCCAUAUCUUUGUCUGGAGGCUCUGCAGCCAUGAUGACAGAGCAACAACUUUCAAGACCAUUUCAGUGCAGAAUAUCAAACAUAUCUGCUGUUACAGAGGGUGCAAGAGUCAUCUCCAAGACAGAAGAUCAGCUGGGAAAUCCAUGGUUACAGAGCUUACCACAGGGCAUAUCUGGAUCUCUGUGUUUGUUAGUGAAGAGCUUUCAUGUUCUAAAGUAAGUAAUUACAACAGGGUGAGUGUGUGUUUUUUACAUAUAGGGAUAAGGCUUUCUUAAUAGACAAAUAGGUGAAGGAUGCACAGCACAGAGAACUUAGUUCUCUAUCAAUAGC